rnacentral:rRNA from 1 species
GGUCAGGCUGAAGACCCUACCCGAUUAGCUGAGAGGUGGUGCAUGGCCGUCGUCAGUUCGUACUGGUGAAGCAUCCUGUUAAGUCCAGGCAACGAGCGAGACCCACGUCCACAGUUGCCAGCAUACCCUCCGGGGUGAUGGGUACACUGUGGAGACCGCCGCUGCUAAAGCGGAGGAAGGAGUGGGCAACGGUAGGUCAGUAUGCCCCGAAUCUCCCGGGCUACACGCGGGCUACAAUGGUUGGUACAAUGGGCAUCUACCCCGAAAGGGGAAGGAAAUCUCUUAAAGCCAAUCGUAGUUCGGAUUGAGGGCUGCAACUCGCCCUCAUGAAGCUGGAAUCCGUAGUAAUCGCGUUUCAACAGAACGCGGUGAAUACGUCCCUGCUCCUU